rnacentral:rRNA from 1 species
UAAGGAAUAUUGGUCAAUGGACGCAAGCCUGAACCAGCCAUGCCGCGUGGGGGAUUAAGGCCCUCUGGGUUGUAAACUCCUUUUAUCUGGGAAGAAAUGUACUUUUUCUUGAGUACUUGACGGUACCAGAGGAAUAAGCACCGGCUAACUCCGUGCCAGCAGCCGCGGUAAUACGGAGGGUGCAAGCGUUGUCCGGAUUUACUGGGUGUAAAGGGCGCGCAGGCGGGAUAAAAAGUCAGUGGUGAAAUCCUACAGCUUAACUGUAGAACUGCCUUUGNUACUUUAAUUCUUGAGUUCGGGAGAGAGAGACGGAAUUCCAGGUGUAGUGGUGAAAUACGUAGAUAUCUGGAAGAACACCAGUGGCGAAGGCGGUCUCUUGGUCCGACACUGACGCUGAGGCGCGAAAGCGUGGGGAGCAAACA